UGUUGACCUCGGAUCAGGUAGGAAUACCCGCUGAACUUAAGCAUAUCAAUAAGCGGAGGAA
rnacentral:rRNA from 3 species